UUCUUAUCAAGAGAGGCAGAGGGACUGGCCCUAUGAUGCCCGACAACCUGAAUUUAUAUUCAAGGUGUUAAUUCCAGCAGGUAAAACCUGAGAGAUGAGAA
rnacentral:ncRNA from 2 species